AUUGAACGCUGGCGGCAGGCCUAACACAUGCAAGUCGAGCGGAUGAAGGGAGCUUGCUCCUGGAUUCAGCGGCGGACGGGUGAGUAAUGCCUAGGAAUCUGCCUGGUAGUGGGGGAUAACGUCCGGAAACGGGCGCUAAUACCGCAUACGUCCUGCGGGAGCAAGUGGGGGAUCUUCGGACCUCACGCUAUCAGAUGAGCCUAGGUCGGAUUAGCUAGUUGGUGGGGUAAAGGCCUACCAAGGCGACGAUCCGUAACUGGUCUGAGAGGAUGAUCAGUCACACUGGAACUGAGACACGGUCCAGACUCCUACGGGAGGCAGCAGUGGGGUAUAUUGGACAAUGGGCGAAAGCCUGAUCCAGCCAUGCCGCGUGUGUGAAGAAGGUCUUCGGAUUGUAAAGCACGUUAAGUUGGGAGGAAGGGCAGUAAGUUAAUACCUUGCUGGUUUGACGUUACCAACAGAAUAAGCACCGGCUAACUUCGUG
rnacentral:rRNA from 1 species